rnacentral:rRNA from 1 species
GGCUAAACCAUGCACCGAAGCUGCGGCAGCGACACUAUGUGUUGUUGGGUAGGGGAGCGUUCUGUAAGCCUGCGAAGGUGUGCUGUGAGGCAUGCUGGAGGUAUCAGAAGUGCGAAUGCUGACAUAAGUAACGAUAAAGCGGGUGAAAAGCCCGCUCGCCGGAAGACCAAGGGUUCCUGUCCAACGUUAAUCGGGGCAGGGUGAGUCGACCCCUAAGGCGAGGCCGAAAGGCGUAGUCGAUGGGAAACAGGUUAAUAUUCCUGUACUUGGUGUUACUGCGAAGGGGGGACGGAGAAGGCUAUGUUAGCCGGGCGACGGUUGUCCCGGUUUAAGCAUGUAGGCUGGUUAUCCAGGCAAAUCCGGAUAAUCAAGGCUGAGGUGUGAUGACGAGGCACUACGGUGCUGAAGUAACAAAUGCCCUGCUUCCAGGAAAAGCCUCUAAGCAUCAGGUAACAUCAAAUCGUACCCCAAACCGACACAGGUGGUCAGGUAGAGAAUACCAAGGCGCUUGAGAGAACUCGGGUGAAGGAACUAGGCAAAAUGGUGCCGUAACUUCGGGAGAAGGCACGCUGGUGUGUAGGUGAAGUCCCUGCGGAUGGAGCUGAGACCAGUCGAAGAUACCAGCUGGCUGCAACUGUUUAUUAAAAACACAGCACUGUGCAAACACGAAAGUGGACGUAUACGGUGUGACGCCUGCCCGGUGC